rnacentral:rRNA from 1 species
AUUGAACGCUGGCGGCAGGCCUAACACAUGCAAGUCGAACGGAGUGGCGGACGGGUGAGUAAUGUCUGGGAAACUGCCCGAUGGAGGGGGAUAACUACUGGAAACGGUAGCUAAUACCGCAUACUAUCAGAUGAGCCUAGGUGGGAUUAGCUAGUUGGUGGGGUAAAGGCUCACCUAGGCGACGAUCCGUAACUGGUCUGAGAGGAUGAUCAGUCACACUGGAACUGAGACACGGUCCAGACUCCUACGGGAGGCAGCAGUGGGGAAUAUUGGACAAUGGGCGAAAGCCUGAUGCAGCCAUGCCGCGUGUAUGAAGAAGGUCUUCGGGUUGUAAAGCACUUUAAGCUAGGAGGCGUUACCAGCAGAAUAAGCACCGGCUAACUUCGUGCCAGCCGCCGCGGUAAUUC